rnacentral:rRNA from 1 species
GAUGAACGCUAGCUACAGGCUUAACACAUGCAAGUCGAGGGGAAACGACAUCGAAAGCUUGCUUUUGAUGGGCGUCGACCGGCGCACGGGUGAGUAACGCGUAUCCAACCUGCCCACCACUUGGGGAUAACCCUGCGAAAGUAAGACUAAUACCCAAUGAUAUCUCUAGAAGACAUCUGAAAGAGAUUAAAGAUUUAUCGGUGAUGGAUGGGGAUGCGUCUGAUUAGCUUGUUGGCGGGGUAACGGCCCACCAAGGCUACGAUCAGUAGGGGUUCUGAGAGGAAGGUCCCCCACAUUGGAACUGAGACACGGUCCAAACUCCUACGGGAGGCAGCAGUGAGGAAUAUUGGUCAAUGGACGGGAGUCUGAACCAGCCAAGUAGCGUGCAGGAUGACGGCCCUAUGGGUUGUAAACUGCUUUUAUAAGGGAAUAAAGUGAGUCUCGUGAGACUUUUUGCAUGUACCUUAUGAAUAAGGACCGGCUCAUUCCGUGCCAGCCGCCGCCGUAA